rnacentral:rRNA from 1 species
GACGAACGCUGGCGGCGCGCCUAACACAUGCAAGUCGAACGGAGCUGAGAGAAGCUUGCUUUUCUUAGCUUAGUGGCGAACGGGUGAGUAACGCGUGAGUAACCUGCCCUGGAGUGGGGGACAACAGUUGGAAACGACUGCUAAUACCGCAUAAGCCCACGAUCCGGCAUCGGAUUGAGGGAAAAGGAUUUAUUCGCUUCAGGAUGGACUCGCGUCCAAUUAGCUAGUUGGUGAGGUAACGGCCCACCAAGGCGACGAUUGGUAGCCGGACUGAGAGGUUGAACGGCCACAUUGGGACUGAGACACGGCCCAGACUCCUUCGGGAGGCAGCAGUGGGGGAUAUUGCACAAUGGGGGAAACCCUGAUGCAGCGACGCCGCGUGGAGGAAGAAGGUUUUCGGAUUGUAAACUCCUGUCGUUAGGGACGAUAAUGACGGUACCUAACAAGAAAGCACCGGCUAACUACGUG